rnacentral:rRNA from 1 species
GAUGAACGCUGGCGGCGUGCUUAACACAUGCAAGUCGAACGAAGCACUUAAGAUUGCUUCUUCGGAUGACGUCUUUUGUGACUUAGUGGCGGACGGGUGAGUAACGCGUGGGUAACCUGCCUCACACAGGGGGAUAACAGUUAGAAAUGACUGCUAAUACCGCAUAACCCGAUAGGAUCGCAUGAUCCAGACGGAAAAGAUUUAUCGGUGUGAGAUGGACCCGCGUCUGAUUAGCUAGUUGGUGAGGUAACGGCCCACCAAGGCGACGAUCAGUAGCCGGGCUGAGAGGGUGAACGGCCACAUUGGGACUGAGACACGGCCCAAACUCCUACGGGAGGCAGCAGUGGGGAAUAUUGCACAAUGGGGGAAAACCUGAUGCAGCGACGCCGCGUGAGUGAAGAAGUAUUUCGGUAUGUAAAGCUCUAUCAGCAGGGAAGAAAAUGACGGUACCUGACUAAGAAGCCCCGGCUAACUACAUG